rnacentral:rRNA from 1 species
GAUGAACGCUGGCGGCGUGCCUAAUACAUGCAAGUCGAGCGAACAGACGAGGAGCUUGCUCCUCUGACGUUAGCGGCGGACGGGUGAGUAACACGUGGAUAACCUACCUAUAAGACUGGGAUAACUUCGGGAAACCGGAGCUAAUACCGGAUAAUAUAUUGAACCGCAUGGUUCAAUAGUGAAAGACGGUUUUGCUGUCACUUAUAGAUGGAUCCGCGCCGCAUUAGCUAGUUGGUAAGGUAACGGCUUACCAAGGCGACGAUGCGUAGCCGACCUGAGAGGGUGAUCGGCCACACUGGAACUGAGACACGGUACAGACUACUACGGGAGGCAGCAGUAGGGAAUCUUCCGCAAUGGGCGAAAGCCUGACGGAGCAACGCCGCGUGAGUGAUGAAGGUCUUCGGAUAGUAAAACUCUGUUAUUAGGGAAGAACAAAUGUGUAAGUAACUAUGCACGUCUUGACGGUACCUAAUCAGAAAGCCACGGCUAACUACGUG